AUUGAACGCUGGCGGAAUGCUUUACACAUGCAAGUCGAACGGCAGCACGGGAGCUUGCUCCUGGUGGCGAGUGGCGAACGGGUGAGUAAUGCGUCGGAACGUACCGAGUAAUGGGGGAUAACGCACCGAAAGGUGUGCUAAUACCGCAUACGCCCUGAGGGGGAAAGUGGGGGAUCGCAAGACCUCACGUUAUUCGAGCGGCCGACGUCUGAUUAGCUAGUUGGUGGGGUAAUGGCUCACCAAGGCGACGAUCAGUAGCCGACCUGAGAGGGUGAUCGGCCACACUGGAACUGAGACACGGUCCAGACUCCUACGGGUGGCAG
rnacentral:rRNA from 1 species